AGCAGCCGCGGUAAUUCCAGCUCCAAUAGCGUAUAUUAAAGUUGUUGCAGUUAAAAAGCUCGUAGUUGAAUUUCGGGAUCAGUACGCUGGUCGUGCCUUUGGUAUGUACUGGUGUCACUGAUUCCUCCCUUCUGAAGAACCGUUAUGCCAUUUAUUUGGUGUGGCGGGAAAUCAGGACUGUUACUUUGAAAAAUUAGAGUGUUUAAAGCAGGCUCGCGCUUGAAUACAUUAGCAUGGAAUAAUGAAAUAGGACGUUUGAUCUUAUUUUGUUGGUUUCUAGGAUCGACGUAAUGAUUAAUAGGGAUAGUUGGGGGCAUUAGUAUUCAAUUGUCAGAGGUGAAAUUCUUGGAUUUAUUGAAGGCUAACUACUGCGAAAGCAUUUGCCAAGGAUGUUUUCAUUAAUCAAGAACGAAAGUUAGGGGAUCGAAGACGAUCAGAUACCGUCGUAGUCUUAACCAUAAACUAUGCCGACUAGGGAUCGGAUGAUGUUAAUUUUUAAUGACUCAUUCGGACCG
rnacentral:rRNA from 1 species